GGGCGGCCCUCGCACGAGGCAGCGCAUGCGGCCUGUGACGACGCGUCGGCAUCGCCGGCCGAUCGGGUCGGCGGGCUGCUCG
rnacentral:tRNA from 1 species